rnacentral:rRNA from 1 species
GUCCAGCAACGAGCGCAACCCCUGUGAACUGUUGCCAGCGCGUAAAGGCGGGGACUCUGUUCAGACUGCCCAGAUCAACUGGGAGGAAGGUGGGGACGACGUCAGGUCAGUAUGGCCCUUACGCCUAGGGCUGCACACGUACUACAAUGCCCAGCACAAUGAGAACCGAGACCGCAAGGUGGAGGAAAUCUGCAAAACUGGGCCCAGUUCGGAUUGGAGGCUGCAACUCGCCUCCAUGAAGUCGGAAUCGCUAGUAAUGCCGUAUCAGCUACGACGGCGUGAAUACGUUCCCGGGUCUUGUACACACCGCCCGUCACAUCAUGGAAGCCGGUCGCACCCGAAGUAUAUGCGCUAACUUUAUUGAAGCAGUAUCCUAAGGUGAGGCUGGUAACUGGGAUGAAGUCGUAACAAGGUAGCCGUAGGGGAACCUGCGGCUGGAUCACCUCCUUU